GGUUGGUUUAAUAAACGUAUAAAAUACCAAAACUAUAAAGCCUAGAACCAGCUCAAUGCUUCUCUUAACAUUCAGUGUUUCAUAAUUUAUUUGAAAUUAUUUUUCCAUCUGAUUCCACGUUUUGAUGUCUGACCCAUAAACAACAGGGACCCUUGCCUUCAGCUCAAUGUCAUCAUCAGGUGUGUUCAUCGACAAAGAUUUCAACCCACAAUCGACUACUUCAAUUGUUGAAUUCUAACCCAGAGAUUGCUAAGGAAGUGAAUGCAUUGGAGGAGGUGACUAAAGCUGGGUCGGUGACAAUUGGAAAAAAUAUUUGCUUAUAUCAAGCAAGGAUCGGCCAAGGAGGCUUUCUUGAGUGCAUAGUGACAAUUGAUGAUGUUUAACCAUGAUUCUCCUUGGUAUUAUAUCGUUUGCAGUGAUUGCAAAACAGAGGCCAACAGAAGGCCCUUCUUUGUUUGUGCUCUAAAUGCAGCAAUGAAAACGUAACCGGGGUCAAAAAAUAAUGAACUUAAUGCCUCAGUAUUCAAUGAAUCGUUGGCUUGGAUUGCUAUUUGUUUUCUCUUAAGCACUGGUAUCUUGAUAAGAUCCCUGUCUACGACAAUUACGACCAGGCUGUGUUCAUUUUACUUGGUGAUGCAGGCCGUGAACUAACUGGAAAGCAUGCCUCCGGAUUGGUUGAUAAAUACUUUAUAAAACCUUUG